AUGCGUGACUGCUUGCAGGCAAAGCAUUCUGUCCAUGAGCGGAGUGAACGAACAUGAGCAAGGAGGACGAUAGUCCGGAAUGCGAAUGGGCGUUACGAUUUCGAGAGUGCGAAGCACGAAGAAAUCGU
rnacentral:sRNA from 1 species